AUUUUAAUUCUUUAUUCAGUACUAUUUUACUAGACUUGUAUCACCUUGUAUAUAAAUUAGAAAUAUAAUAUUUUUGAAACAAUUCUCUUCCUUGUGUCAGAUAUCAGAAAUCAAACCAUUUAUUCUUUUAAUUUAGUCCAAUGUUAUGUGUGUCAAUUUUGAAUGACAAUUCAAAAUGUCAUUAAUUUAUUCUUCGAUCCUGCUUUCUGGCUCACAAUCCAAAGUCUUAUGUCAAUAACUUGCUUUAUAACUUCAUUCGGAGCCAAAAGAAGCACGUAAAAUUCCCUUUUGAUUUAUAAAAUUGUUCCGUUACAUGAACAUGAGUCUAAGAAGGGCAGUACGAUGAAAGUAGUCAGAAAAAUGUUUAGUUAACAAGUAUCAAGAAGUGUUGAACGACUUGUCUCUUCCCAUUUUGGAAAUACCACUUGAAGAAGUGAUCGAGUUGGCUGGAGAGGAAAAUUGAAACUACAAAACUAUGAAAGAUGUGUUAGAAAAUGCUAAGGACGUUGCUAUGGAGUAGAUAAACAAGUUUUAUACCAAGGUAACAGAUAAAUUGUAUACGGAACCCAUCAAAGGCACCUUGUUUCAAACAACUGCCUAUUUUCAUUUUUCAUCAAGUAGGACAAAACAAUUGCUACUAGAAUUAAUUGUGGUAGCCUAGGUAAUUCACUAAAAACAAACUAAGCUAAGCAUUUGAGUACAGAUUAUUCGGCAUUCGUUGCCGUUGCAGCUCUUCGAGCACACGUCCACCUGAUACCUCCAGAUGAACACCUCAACUUGAUUUUAAUCCGGUGAGUCUUGCUUAGCUUUCACAAACGAAUUAUCCUAUCACCUCUACCCAACAUCAAUGUGAAGUCGUCGGUGUACUCCUUUUCUCUGUGGUUCAUGAAGUUUUUGGAUAAUUGCCAGAUGUUUUCAAUCCAAAGUCAGGGUUAGUAUAAAGUCAUUCCUCGUGUUGUUUCAAUUUCAUAUAAUUUCUUAGGAUUUAGAUCACAAAGGGAACACGAAAAAUUUGAUUUAGCCCCGAUAGUUGGUGUAAAUUAAUUAAUGGGUGCUCGAAGAACUGCAGUGACAAAGAAUGCCGAAUGAACGACGCGGCAACCAGGAGCUUCUUGUUGAGCAGUACGACGAGAGUGGUCAGAAUAAUUUGUUGGUUAACAAGUUUCAAGAUGUUCUGGGCGAUUUGGCGCUUCCAACUUUGGAAAUAUUAUUCGAGGAAGGGUCCGAGUUGAAUUAUCACACCAAUUUCAUACGGCUGGAGAUGGAAACUGUAGUCACAAGGGCGUGAAACAUUGUCAAAUUAUUAAACAAGUGUUAAAAUCAGGAGAAGAUUAAUAAGAUUUACACCAAGGUAGAUAAAUUGUGUCGUCAAUACAAGGUCCAAUUUCAAUUUAUUGCCUGUUCGAAAUACUUAAAGUGUAGAUAAUUCAUUGUAAAAAUAUGUACUCUUUAAAUUAUUCUGUUAGCAGUUGUCUUACCGUAUUUAACCAAAAAAGUACAACAACUUUACUAGUACAUUUAAACAAUGUUUUAAUUUUCUAUACUUAAGUAUUUCAAACAAACAAAAAAUUGAAAUAGGUACCUGUAUUGUAACAUAAUUGAGCUUUUAAUAUCAAUUUAUCUACUAUCUUCAUAUAAAACUAGUCCUCGACAUUUUUUAGCAUUUGUUUAAUAAUUUUGCCAUUUUUUUGCGCCCUUUUGCUAUCAGUUUUCAACUCCAACCUUAUGAUAUUGGCGUGAUAACUCAGCUCGGUCACUUCAAAUGAUAUUUUCAAAAUCGGAAGCGACAAGUCGUCCAGAACUUGUUAGCUAACAAUUUUCUUUUGACUAUUCCUGUUUGCACUGUCCAAUAAGAAGCUCAUGAUUGUCGAAUCGCCAAUUCGGCCCUCAUUAUCGUUGCAGUUCUUCGAGCACUCAGUCGCCUGAAACCACCAGAUGAAUGCUUAAUUUUAUUUUUCGUUCAGUGAUAAUUCGUUACUGGAAGUUAAACAGUCUCCGGAUUUUAAUAAUGAAAUCAAUCUGUCAAUUUUGACGGACAGUUCAAACUUGGCUCUCAAUUCAUAGUCAAGAUUAAUAUAAAGUCGUUUUUCAAUUACUCCCAUGUUUCAUAUUAAUUAAUUAAUGGGUGCUUGAAGAACUGUAAUGAAGGCAACGGAUGCCGAAUGGACGACGCAAAAUCAUAUUGAAAAUAUCACUGGAAUAAGUGACUGAGUUCAGCCAUCACACCAAUUUCGUACGACUGGAGAAGAUUUAAACCAUGAGGGCACGAAAUAUUCAUAAAACUAUUAAAAUUCGAAGAACCUUGCAAUGGAGAAGAUAAACAAGUUUGAUGUGCCAUCAGAAGUCCAAUACUGAAUCCAUUAAAGGCACAUUUACAGAUGUGAAGCUUGUGAAAUAUUUAUGGUAGAGAUAAUUCGGCAUUCGUUGUCGUUGCAGUUCUUCGAGCAUCCGCUAUCCGUGUCAAUUUUGAAAGACAGUUCAAAACGUCACCAUCUUAUACACCGAUCCAAUUUUCUGGCACACAAUUCAUAAUCAGGAUCAAUAUUGAGUCGUUUAAUUAUAAGUAUAACUAUUGUUUCAUAUUUGUAAACUGUGUAAUUUCUUGAGAUUUGGAUUCUAAAGCACGUUAAAAUUGUUAUUUAUAAAAUUGUUUCGUUAAUUGAUGUUAAAUUAAUUAAUGGGUGCUCGAAGAACUGCAAUAACAACGAAAGCCGAAUGGACCACCUGACUAUCUGGAGAAUCUUGUUGGGCAGUACGACAAGAGUAGUAAGAAAAAUGUGUGGGUUAACAAGUUUCCAGAAGUGCUUCCCAUAUUGGAGGUAUCAUUCGAGAAAGUGAUUACACUAAUUUCAUACGGCUCCAGAAACAAAUUAAAACCAUAGAGGCAUGAAAUGUUCACAAAAUCAUUAAACAAUUGUUAGAAGAUGUGAAGAGACAUUGCAAUGGAGAUCAUAAAGAAAUUUCAUACGAAAAUAGAAGAUGAAUUGUACGAUUAAUUUACCUUGCAAUCCAAGUACCUAUUUCCAUUUUUAGUGAAGUACGAACUGCUAAUAGACAUAGUUGUAUUAGUGCAGAUUGAAUUAAGCGUUUGAAGUAAUUAAAGAAAAGAUAAUUCGGCAGUCGUUGUCAUUGCAGUUCUUCGAGCACUCCUCCACCAGACACCUCCAGAUGAACCGCAUUACUUUGAUUUUGAUACGGACAGUUUCCUCAAAUGAAUUGUCACCUUCGUCAGACUUCAAUGUGACGUCGGUCGGAUUUUCGGCGGUGCACUCCUUUUCCGGUUGUUCCAUGAAGUUUUGGGAUAAUUGUCAGACGUUUAAAACUCCUUCUCCGAAUUGUCUCCUUCCAUGGGUACCUUCAAUUUAGUCCAAUAUACGUAUGUCAAUUUUGAAAGACAGUUGGAAACGUCACCAAUUUAUAUUCCCAUCCUCUUUUCUGGUCCAUAACUCAGCCAGGAUUGUAAAUUUUCUUAAUAUUGGAAUCCAAAGGGAGAACGUAAAAUUAGAUAUCAAUUUACAAAAUUAUGGGUGCUCGAAGAACUGCAAUGACAACGGAUGCCGAAUGGACGGCGGGACAAUCGGAAGCAGUACGACAAGGUAGAAGAAAAAUUUGUGGGUUGACAAGUUUCAAGAAUUAUUGGACAACUUUCCAUUUGGAGAAUAUCACUGGAGGAAGUCAAGAAGUUUGAAAUUAUAAGGGCACGAAUUGUUCACAAAAAAAGAAAGUGCGAAGAUAGUACGAUGUAGAAAAAUUGUACCAUCAGAGACCCAAUACUGAGUCCACCAAAGGCACCUUUGUACCUAUUUCCAUUUUUGGAAACUACGUCAAAAUCAUUGCUGAUAAAAUCAAAAUAUUUAUUUUUCAUUUUACAUUGUCUAUAUAUACUUUAUGUACAAUAUAUUUAUCAAAUUAUAUUUUUUCUCAUAUAUUGAUAUAUGAUCUAAAAAUUAUAUAUAAGUAAGAUAUGUG